rnacentral:rRNA from 1 species
GCCGCGUGCAGGAUGAAGGCCUUCGGGUUGUAAACUGCUUUUGUACGGAACGAAAAAGCUUCUCCUAAUACGAGAGGCCCAUGACGGUACCGUAAGAAUAAGCACCGGCUAACUACGUGCCAGCAGCCGCGGUAAUACGUAGGGUGCGAGCGUUAAUCGGAAUUACUGGGCGUAAAGCGUGCGCAGGCGGUUAUGUAAGACAGAUGUGAAAUCCCCGGGCUCAACCUGGGAACUGCAUUUGUGACUGCAUGGCUAGAGUACGGUAGAGGGGGAUGGAAUUCCGCGUGUAGCAGUGAAAUGCGUAGAUAUGCGGAGGAACACCGAUGGCGAAGGCAAUCCCCUGGACCUGUACUGACGCUCAUGCACGAAAGCGUGGGGAGCAAACAGGAUUAGAUACCCUGGUAGUCCACGCCCUAAACGAUGUCAACUGGUUGUUGGGAAUUAGUUUUCUCAGUAACGAAGCUAACGCGU